rnacentral:rRNA from 1 species
GACGAACGCUGGCGGCGUGCCUAAUACAUGCAAGUCGAACGCAGUGGGGACGGGUGAGUAACACGUGGGUAACCUCCCAUCAGAGGGGAUAAAACUUGGAAACAGGUGCUAAACCGAUACUGAUGGAUGGACCCGCGUGGCAUUAGCUAGUUGGUGAGGUAACGGCUCACCAAGGCCACGAUGCAUAGCCGACCUGAGAGGGUGCUCGGCCACACUGGGACUGAGACCCGGUCCAGACUCCUACGGGAGGCAGCAGUAGGGAAUCUUCCGCAAUGGACGCAAGCCUGACCGAGCAACGCCGCGUGAGUGAAGAAGGUUUUCGGAUCGUAAAACUCUUUCGUUAGAGAAGCGGUAUCUACCCAGAAAGCCACGGCUAACUACGUGCCAGCCGCCGCGGUAAUAC